CUUCCCCUGGCAAGGCACGUGAUUAUUAUCAACAAGAUGUCGAAGGUGACGGUGCAUAUUGAGUACUGUGGCGGAUGAGGUUAUGGACCUCGGUAUCGGGAGCUCAAGGAAUGGCUUAGCUCUCGUACCGAGGCGGAGAUCACUGGAGCGGUUGGACGCCAAUCUUCAUUUGAAGUGACGGUUAAUAACAAGCUUGUGUUCUCCAAGUUACAACUGGCUGGAUUCCCCGAUCAGGAGGAUGUCCUCAGGGCAAUCAAGGAAGCAGAACAGGGCCUGGAGCCGAAGACAAUCACAGACUCCAAGAGCCCUGGCUGCAUCAUUAUGUAGAUUCUCACACAACGUCCUUCAGCACUGAAGCUCUGUAUCUACGUUGGAGUUGCCACCCCAAUGAUGGCCUGUGCUGAAACUCUGUGCAUGGGCCGGAAGUCUGGCGGGGCUCUAACCGAGGAACAGACCACUAAGUGAUGAUGGGACUUCUUGGGGUGCCCUCUCUGUCCAACUGAGAUUUUGUUCUAAAGAUUUAGUGCUCAUUUCACAAGCUGUGUCAUCUGCUGAAGUGAUUCUUUUGAAUCAAUGAUCUUCUACAAAACAUGUGUCCAGUUAUACACAUGUACAUGGACAAGUGAUUCAUGAGAAAAAAUAUCUUGGUUUUCUUAUAUAUUAAAUUAAUACAUUCACUCAUUCCUCUGAUGAAUUUGUUCACAUCUUUUAUUUCCAAUAAAUAACCCAUUCAUAUUAAGAUAUUAUGUUCACAUCACAUGUUGUGAUGAAUUUGAUAUUCUGGCUCACUUCCUUUUGACAUGUUGUGUCAUCUGCUCACAGUACUUGCCAGUUGAACUGAUGUUGAAAUCAUAGGCAGCAAACUUUUGGCUUAUUUUGUGAUAUUUUGCAUGUUAUUUAUUGGAUUUGAAGUAUAAGUAUUAAAGUGUUUACCCAUCCAA